rnacentral:rRNA from 1 species
AUGAACGCUAGCUACAGGCUUGACACAUGCAAGUCGAGGGGCAGCAUGGUCUUAGCUUGCUAACGGCCGAGUGGCGACCGGCGCACGGGUGAGUAACACGUAUCCAACCUGCCGUCUACUCUUGGACAGCCUUCUGAAAGGAAGAUUAAUACAAGAUGGCAUCAUGAGUCCGCAUGUUCACAUGAUUAAAGGUAUUCCGGUAGACGAUGGGGAUGCGUUCCAUUAGAUAGUAGGCGGGGUAACGGCCCACCUAGUCUUCGAUGGAUAGGGGUUCUGAGAGGAAGGUCCCCCACAUUGGAACUGAGACACGGUCCAAACUCCUACGGGAGGCAGCAGUGAGGAAUAUUGGUCAAUGGGCGAGAGCCUGAACCAGCCAAGUAGCGUGAAGGAUGACUGCCCUAUGGGUUGUAAACUUCUUUAUAAAGGAAUAAAGUCGGGUAUGCAUACCCGUUUGCAUGUACUUUAUGAAUAAGGAUCGGCUAACUCCGUG